AGGAUAUAAAAAGAACGUGUGUACA
rnacentral:miRNA from 14 species